GAUGAACGCUGGCGGCGUGCCUAAUACAUGCAAGUCGAGCGAACAGAUGAGGAGCUUGCUCCUCUGACGUUAGCGGCGGACGGGUGAGUAACACGUGGAGAACCUACCUAUAAGACUGGGAUAACUUCGGGAAACCGGAGCUAAUACCGGAUAAUAUAUUGAACCGCAUGGUUCAAUAGUGAAAGACGGUUUUGCUGUCACUUAUAGAUGGAUCCGCGCCGCAUUAGCUAGUUGGUAAGGUAACGGCUUACCAAGGCAACGAUGCGUAGCCGACCUGAGAGGCUCAUCCGACCCACUGGAACAGAGAGGCGCACGGGCUUCCCACGGACGCCAGCGGUAGAGACAUUGCCCCAAUGUGCGAGGGCGUAAGGAGGCAACACGGCCUGAGUACUGAUGGUCUUCCGAUCGUAAAACUUGGCUAAUGGGGAACAUCAAAUGUCUAUGUAACUACGCCCAAAUCGACGGCCCCUACCCAGAAGGCAACGCCACACUACGCC
rnacentral:rRNA from 1 species